rnacentral:rRNA from 2 species
UACGUAGGGUGCGAGCGUUAAUCGGAAUUACUGGGCGUAAAGUGUGCGCAGGCGGCCGAGCAAGUCGAGUGUGAAAGCCCCGGGCUUAACCUGGGAACUGCGCUCGAAACUACUUGGCUUGAGUGUGGCAGAGGGAGGUGGAAUUCCACGUGUAGCGGUGAAAUGCGUAGAGAUGUGGAGGAACACCGAUGGCGAAGGCAGCCUCCUGGGCCAACACUGACGCUCAUGCACGAAAGCGUGGGGAGCAAACAGG